CAAUAGCGUAUAUUUAAGUUGCUGCAGUUAAAAAGCUCGUAGUUGGAUUUCGGGUGGGAAUGGCCGGUCCGCCGUUUCGGUGUGCACUUGCUACGCCCACCUUGCUGCCGGGGACGUGCUCUUGAGUUCACGCUCGGGACACGGAGUCGGCGAGGUUACUUUGAGUAAAUUAGAGUGUUCAAAGCAGGCCUACGCUCUGAAUACAUUAGCAUGGAAUAACAUGAUAGGACUCUGGCCUAUCUUGUUGGUCUGUAGGACCGGAGUAAUGAUUAAGAGGGACAGUCGGGGGCAUUCGUAUUUCAUUGUCAGAGGUGAAAUUCUUGGAUUUAUGAAAGACGAACUACUGCGAAAGCAUUUGCCAAGGAUGUUUUCAUUAA
rnacentral:rRNA from 1 species